AGUGAACGCUGGCGGUAGGCCUAACACAUGCAAGUCGAACGGCAGCACAGUAAGAGCUUGCUCUUACGGGUGGCGAGUGGCGGACGGGUGAGGAAUACAUCGGAAUCUACUUUGUCGUGGGGGAUAACGUAGGGAAACUGACGCUACUACCGCAUACAUCCUACGGGUGAAAGCAGGGGAGCUUCGGACCUUUCGCGAUUGAAUGAGCCGAUGUCGGAUUAGCUAGUUGGCGGGGUAAAGGCCCACCAAGGCAACGAUCCGUAGCGGGUCUGAGAGGAUGAUCAGCCACACUGGAACUGAGACACGGUCCAGACUCCUACGGGAGGCAGCAGUGGGGAAUAUUGGGCAAUGGGCGCAAGCCUGAUCCAGCCAUACCGCGUGGGUGAAGAAGGCCUUCGGGUUGUAAAACUCUUUUGUUGGGAAAGAAAAAAAGCGGGUUAAUACCCCGCUGUUUUGACGGUACCCAAAGAAUAAGCACCGGCUAACUUCGUG
rnacentral:rRNA from 1 species